GGCGGACGGGUGAGUAACACGUGGGCAACCUGCCUGUAAGAUUGGGAUAACCCCGGGAAACCGGAGCUAAUACCGAAUAAUACUUUUUAUCACAUGGUAAGAAGUUGAAAGGCGGCUUUUGCUGUCACUUACAGAUGGGCCCGCGGCGCAUUAGCUAGUUGGUGGGGUAAUGGCCUACCAAGGCGACGAUGCGUAGCCGACCUGAGAGGGUGAUCGGCCACACUGGGACUGAGACACGGCCCAGACUCCUACGGGAGGCAGCAGUAGGGAAUCUUCCGCAAUGGACGAAAGUCUGACGGAGCAACGCCGCGUGAGUGAUGAAGGUUUUCGGAUCGUAAAACUCUGUUGUUAGGGAAGAACAAGUACCGUUCGAAUAGGGCGGUGCCAUGACGGUACCUAACCAGAAAGCCCCGGCUAACUACGUGCCAGCAGCCGCGGUAAUACGUAGGGGGCAAGCGUUGUCCGGAAUUAUUGGGCGUAAAGCGCUCGCAGGCGGUCUUUUAAGUCUGAUGUGAAAGCCCACGGCUCAACCGUGGAGGGUCAUUGGAAACUGGAGGACUUGAGUACAGAAGAGGAGAGUGGAAUUCCACGUGUAGCGGUGAAAUGCGUAGAGAUGUGGAGGAACACCAGUGGCGAAGGCGACU
rnacentral:rRNA from 1 species